rnacentral:rRNA from 1 species
UGCCAGCAGCCGCGGUAAUACGGAGGGGGUUAGCGUUGUUCGGAAUUACUGGGCGUAAAGCGUACGUAGGCGGAUCAGAAAGUAGGGGGUGAAAUCCCAGGGCUCAACCCUGGAACUGCCUCCUAAACUCCUGGUCUUGAGUUCGAGAGAGGUGAGUGGAAUUCCAAGUGUAGAGGUGAAAUUCGUAGAUAUUUGGAGGAACACCAGUGGCGAAGGCGGCUCACUGGCUCGAUACUGACGCUGAGGUACGAAAGUGUGGGGAGCAAACAGGAUUAGAUA